rnacentral:lncRNA from 1 species
UCGUAAUAUCAAAUAAAUGUGGUCAAUACAAUAGCCUUCCUCUCCAAAAGAAUACAACCGAUAAAAUAUUAUAAUAAUCCGAAUCACAAUAAAGAAGCAAUAUAUAUAUAUAUAGUACAGGCAUCAAAAAAACAGAGACACUGGGAAAAUGAAAUCUAAAGCAGAAAAUAAAUUAGAGCGAAUCCCAGGGCUAAGCCCCUAGCCAUGCUCUGCGGACACCACAUUUUCUCUGCUGAACUCUGCGUGACAAUUAAAAGUGUGUUAGAAAUAUUAUUAUAGGAAAAAAAAAUUGUAUAAAAUAUUUUUAGUAUUUUUAAUGGGGACAUACUGCGUCGGUGGCUGAUGGAACGGAGGCACCGCCUAGGCUUGGCGUGGGAGCUGCGGUGGGUGAUGCAGGAGGGGUUGUUAGAGAGGGAAGUGGCGACGGAGAGGCGGGCUUGGUUGGGGCUGGUGCUGGAGAUGAUGCUGGCGGGGGGACUGCGGGAGGAGGUGGAGUGGGGGAUGGAGGUGGUGGGGUGGUGGGAGCUGGUGGUGGAGUGGAGACUGGAGGAGGGGUUGCUGGUGGUGUGGAGACUGGUGGGGGAAUGUUGGCGGGAGGUGGCGUAGUGGAGGCCGGAGGAGCGGUGACGACUGGAGGUGGAGAGGUGGUGGGAGGUGAAGGGGUGGUGGUUGGUGGGGUUUGAGGGGUGGGGGGAGCUUGGGUGGUUGGUGGUGUUUGGGGUGUGGAUGGUGGUGAUUGCGGUGUGGGUGGUGCUUGGGUGGUUGGUGGUGAUUGAGGGGUGGGUGGUGCCUGGGUGGUCGGUGGUGCUUGGGUGGUUGGUGGUGCCUGUGUAAUAGGUGGUGCUUGGGUGGUUGGUGGUGCUUGUGUGGUGGGUGGGGUCUGCGUGCUUGGCGGGGCUUGGGUGGUGGGAGGAGAUUGAGCAGAGACAGCAACAAUGGCAAUGCAGAUGAAACCUAAGAAAAUGAUAGUGUUAUGACAAGUCAUGUCUGCCUUGAGCAUGAAGAGAGAACAAUAAGGUAAUGUAUGA